UAGUCCACGCCGUAAACGAUGGUCACUAGUUGUUGGGGUCUUGUACCUCAGUGAUUAAGAGAAAUUGAUAAGUGACCCACCUGGGGAGUACGAUCGCAAGAUUGAAACUCAAAGGAAUUGACGGGGGCCCGCACAAGCGGUGGAGCAUGUGGUUUAAUUCGAUGAUACGCGAGGAACCUUACCAGGGCUUAAAUGUAAGUUGCAUGGUCUAGAGAUAGACUUUUCUUCGGACAUUUUGCAAGGUGCUGCAUGGUUGUCGUCAGCUCGUGCCGUGAGGUGUCAGGUUAAGUCCUAUAACGAGCGCAACCCCUGCCGUCAGUUGCCAGCAAGUAAAGUUGGGGACUCUGACGGGACUGCCGGUGCAAACCGCGAGGAAGGUGGGGACGACGUCAAAUCAUCACGGCCCUUACGUCCUGGGCUACACACGUGCUACAAUGGCCGGUACAGCGAGCAGCCACUUCGCAAGAAGGAGCGAAUCUAUAAAACCGGUCACAGUUCGGAUCGGGGUCUGCAACUCG
rnacentral:rRNA from 1 species